rnacentral:rRNA from 1 species
UACGUAGGGUGCAAGCGUUAAUCGGAAUUACUGGGCGUAAAGCGUGCGUAGGCGGUGAUUUAAGUCUGCUGUGAAAUCCCCGGGCUCAACCUGGGAAUGGCAGUGGAUACUGGAUCGCUAGAGUGUGAUAGAGGAUGGUGGAAUUCCCGGUGUAGCGGUGAAAUGCGUAGAGAUCGGGAGGAACAUCAGUGGCGAAGGCGGCCAUCUGGAUCAACACUGACGCUGAGGCACGAAAGCGUGGGGAGCAAACAGG